GAUGAACGCUGGCGGCGUGCCUAAUACAUGCAAGUCGAGCGAACGGACGAGAAGCUUGCUUCUCUGAUGUUAGCGGCGGACGGGUGAGUAACACGUGGAUAACCUACCUAUAAGACUGGGAUAACUUCGGGAAACCGGAGCUAAUACCGGAUAAUAUUUUGAACCGCAUGGUUCAAAAGUGAAAGACGGUCUUGCUGUCACUUAUAGAUGGAUCCGCGCUGCAUUAGCUAGUUGGUAAGGUAACGGCUUACCAAGGCAACGAUGCAUAGCCGACCUGAGAGGGUGACCGGCCCAACGGGAACGGGACCCCGGUCCAAACCCCUAGGGGAGGCAGCGGUGGGGAAUCUCCCGAAAUGGGCGAAAGCCUGCCGGGGCAACGCGCGGGGGGUGAGGAAGGUCUUCGGACGGGAAAACUUUUUUAUUGGGGAAGAACAAAUGUUGAAGUAACUGGGACCAUUUUGACGGUACCAAAACAAAAAGCCACGGCUAACCACGU
rnacentral:rRNA from 1 species